rnacentral:rRNA from 1 species
UACGUCGGGGGCAAGCGUUGUCCGGAAUCAUUGGGCGUAAAGCGCGCGUAGGCGGUCUUUCAAGUCAGGAGUGAAAGCCCCGGGCUCAACCCGGGAAUAGCUCUUGAUACUGUUGGACUUGAGUCCGGGAGAGGAUAGUGGAAUUCCCAGUGUAGAGGUGAAAUUCGUAGAUAUUGGGAAGAACACCAGUGGCGAAGGCGGCUAUCUGGACCGGUACUGACGCUGAGGCGCGAAAGCGUGGGGAGCAAACAGG